AAUCAGUAGAGUGUCCACAACAAAUCGCGGGGUAAAACCCACUCACAAGACAACGGCACAAUUACUUUCCUUCACGUGAAGAAUUGGGUGCGUUGGAUAAUCCUUUCGCGGCUCUCACUGUGUCCGAGCGGAUGUUUGGCCAAUUCGCCGUUGUAGCUGGGAAGUCAGAGGCGGUAAUUCCAACGUCUCGGCUCUCGUGGGUUGCGGUGCGUGAAGUAUCCGGACGCCUUAAUCCGAAGUGG